AGUGAACGCUGGCGGUAGGCCUAACACAUGCAAGUCGAACGGCAGCACAGUAAGAGCUUGCUCUUACGGGUGGCGAGUGGCGGACGGGUGAGGAAUACAUCGGAAUCUACUUUUUCGUGGGGGAUAACGUAGGGAAACUUACGCUAAUACCGCAUACGACCUACGGGUGAAAGCAGGGGAUCUUCGGACCUUGCGCGAUUGAAUGAGCCGAUGUCGGAUUAGCUAGUUGGCGGGGUAAAGGCCCACCAAGGCGACGAUCCGUAGCUGGUCUGAGAGGAUGAUCAGCCAAAAUGGAAGUGAGGCACGGUCCAGACUCCUACGGGGGGCAACAGUGGGGAAUAUUGGGCAAUGGGGGCAAGGCUGAUCCAGCCAUACCGGGUGGGUGAAGAAGGCCUUCGGGUUGGAAAGCCCUUUUGGUGGGAAAGAAAAGCAGCAGGUUAAUACCCCGCUGUUCUGACGGUACCCAAAGAAUAAGCACCGGCUAACUUCGUG
rnacentral:rRNA from 1 species